AGCAUGGGCGAUGCUACCAUGCAAGUCGUACCAGGGUAACGUAAGCUUGCUACCAGGCGACGAGUGGCGGACGGGUGAGUAACACGUGGGAAUCUACCGAGUAGCGGGGGAUAGCCCGGAGAAAUCCGGAUUAAUACCGCAUGUGCACUACGGUGUAAAGAGGGCCUCUAUUUAUAAGCUUUCACUAUUCGAUGAGCCUGCGUCAGAUUAGCUAGUUGGUGGGGUAAUGGCCUACCAAGGCGACAAUCUGUACCUGGUCUGAGAGGAUGAUCAGCCACACUGGGACUGAGACACGGCCCAGACUCCUACGGGAGGCAGCAGUGGGGAAUAUUGGACAAUGGGCGCAAGCCUGAUCCAGCAAUACCGCGUGUGUGAAGAAGGCCUUCGGGUUGUAAAGCACUUUCAGCGAGGAGGAAGGCCAAGUAGUUAAUACCUGCUUGGAUUGACGUUACUCGCAGAAGAAGCACCGGCUAACUCCGUGCCAGCAGCCGCGGUAAUACGGAGGGUGCAAGCGUUAAUCGGAAUUACUGGGCGUAAAGCGCGCGUAGGCGGAUGAUUAAGUCAGAUGUGAAAGCCCAGGGCUUAACCUUGGAACUGCAUUUGAUACUGGUCAUCUAGAGUACAGAAGAGGGGGGUGGAAUUCCAGGUGUAGCGGUGAAAUGCGUAGAGAUCUGGAGGAACAUCAGUGGCGAAGGCGACCCCCUGGGCUGAUACUGACGCUGAGGUGCGAAAGCGUGGGUAGCGAACAGGAUUAGAUACCCUGGUAGUCCACGCCGUAAACGAUGUCUAUUAGCUGUUGGGUAUAUUAAGAUACUUAGUGGCGCAGCUAACGCGAUAAAUAGACCGCCUGGGGAGUACGGCCGCAAGGUUAAAACUCAAAUGAAUUGACGGGGGCCCGCACAAGCGGUGGAGCAUGUGGUUUAUUUCGAUGCAACGCGAAGAACCUUACCAUGUCUUGACAUCCAGAGAACUUUCCAAGAUGGAUUGGUGCCUUCGGGACUCUGUGACAGGUGCUGCAUGGCUGUCCUCAGCUCCUGUCCUGAGAAUGUGGGUUAAGUCCCGUAACGACGCACCCUGUCCUAUGCUAACAUGAGUGAAAACUUCUAAGAAACUUGCCGGUGACACCGGAGAAGGUGGGGACGACGUCGAGUCCAUCUGGCCUGCGACCUGGGCCUACCACACAUGCUACAUGGGCAUACGGAUGGUGGCAACCCCAGGCGGACCUUCUUCACGAGGCGUCGC
rnacentral:rRNA from 1 species